AUCUCUCGUCAUUACAGUAGCCGGUCCUCGGAUAUUUGAUUCAGAGCUCUUCUUCUGGGGUUUCUGGCCCAUUGCUCUCUCUCUCUUUUUGUUUCCCAGACAUCAAGAAGUCAUUUGAGACCUAGUUAAUGUAAGUGGAACUUCCAAACCUCCCCAUCUUUAAAAGUCUCCUCAGACUUCUGUGACGUCCGUGCAGCGGCUGGGGAGUUGUGUCAUGACCUCAGAUUCCUCCAGAGAUCCCCAAAGAUGAAUCUACAGGGGUAGCAGCUUCUACCUGGGUCAAAUCUCCUUUGCCAGAUCCUCCAACACUAUUCGGUCUUAAAGCACUGCUGAUUCCAAGUUCACGGGUG
rnacentral:sRNA from 1 species